CCAGGUUUAUGAGGUUGGAACUUGUGUCUAGUCCGACGUGAAGGUAUUGUCUACUUUGAGGAUCCAUCGGAAUGUACCUCGUACGGCAUGGGUGAUCCCUUACGGUUUUGUCCUCUUGAGCCCGUGCCAAAGCAACUGGAUCCAAAAGAUGCUUCUAUAUGGGAGGGGGGCUAUCAAGCCUUAUAAGAUGAGGUGGCCUG
rnacentral:lncRNA from 1 species